rnacentral:rRNA from 1 species
UGAGGAAUAUUGGUCAAUGGACGGGAGUCUGAACCAGCCAAGCCGCGUGAAGGAAGAAGGUGCAGAGCAUCGUAAACUUCUUUUGUCAGGGAACAAUAAGGUUCAUGUAUGGACCGAUGAGUGUACCUGAAGAAAAAGCAUCGGCUAACUCCGUUCCAGCAGCCGCGGUAAUACGGAGGAUGCGAGCGUUAUCCGGAAUUAUUGGGUUUAAAGGGUGCGUAGGCGGUAUGUCAAGUCGGUGGUGAAAUCCCGGAGCUCAACUCCGGCGAGCCAUCGAAACUGACAUGCUUGAGAGGGAGAGAGGUCAGCGGAAUGCGCAGUGUAGCGGUGAAAUGCAUAGAUAUUGCGCAGAACUCCGAUUGCGAAGGCAGCUGACCGGCUUCUAUCUGACGCUGAGGCACGAAAGCGUGGGUAUCGAACAGGA